CCUACGGGUGGCAGCAGUGAGGAAUAUUGGUCAAUGGACGAGAGUCUGAACCAGCCAAGUAGCGUGAAGGAUGACUGCCCUAUGGGUUGUAAACUUCUUUUAUAUGGGAAUAAAAUGUUCCAAGUGUGGGAUUUUGUAUGUACCAUAUGAAUAAGGAUCGGCUAACUCCGUGCCAGCAGCCGCGGUAAUACGGAGGAUCCGAGCGUUAUCCGGUUUUAUUGGGUUAAAAGGGAGCGUAGGUGGAUUGUUAAGUCAGUUGUGAAAGUUUGCGGCUCAACCGUAAAAUUGCAGUUGAAACUGGCAGUCUUGAGUACAGUAGAGGUGGGCGGAAUUCGUGGUGUAGCGGUGAAAUGCUUAGAUAUCACGAAGAACUCCGAUUGCGAAGGCAGUUCACUGGACUGCAACUGACACUGAGGCUCGAAAGUGUGGGUAUCAAACAGGAUUAGAUACCCGGGUAGUC
rnacentral:rRNA from 1 species